rfam:Brassica oleracea var. oleracea cultivar TO1000 chromosome C8, whole genome shotgun sequence
GGAAUAUAAGAACCCGUCUCUUAAUUUUUAACUAAAAAAAGCUAAGAACUGGUUCUUAAAUAAGAGUUUUAAGAGCCUGCUCUUAGCUUUUAUAGUUAAAAGUUAAGAGACGGAUUCUUAUAUUCC